rnacentral:lncRNA from 1 species
GAUUUCGAUGACCAAUUUGAUGCAGAUGAUUGUUUAACAGCAGAAACUCCUUGUGCCUUGCUGGAAAAUGAUGCUGAUAGGCAGUAUAAGUAUGCAUCUGCAAGUUAUAAUGCAUUUAAUGUUGCAACCAACGAGCUCAUGUUUCAUGAUACUAAAGAACCUUCUAUAGUUAAACCUAAAAUCUCUGCUAGUCUCAGUGAGCUGACAUAUACCUGUCUAGAUGAAUUGCAAUUUGCUGCCAGAGAGCCUCUUACUGAUAAAAUUAUCUCAUCGCACGGAAAUAGCUCAAAUUAUUUUGAUGAAGAAAUGGAGGCUGCAAGAAGUAAAGAUAAGUUUGUUGAUACUGCAUGCAGAAAUAAUCUUAAGAAUGUGUCUUUAGUCAACACUAGUGAAGGAUGUGAUGGUGAUUCACAGUAUCUGAAAUUUGUUUUUGAUGAAGUCAGUAGUACAUGUGAAUCAUCCUUGACUUUGGAUGGUGUUAACAUGGAUCAGAAUUCUGUUAUUUCUGCAAAUUGUUGUGAGCAUAUUGAAAAAGGGCACCCCUGUUUCUGCUCCUCUGUCUAUGAUUCAGGAGAUCCAAGUGAAGUUUGUGAACCAACAGUUCCAGGAGAUGAUGUAAGUAUACCUCAUUACAAAAUUUUGUUGACCUAACUCUUUUUAAUUACAAUUUCAAGGCUUUGCCUUUCAAUCACAAUGGUAAUUUCUGUUUUCUUUUUGUUAAAUAGGAUCAUACAAAACAUAAAGUUUCAUAUGUGUUGGAAGAAAAUGCUUCACAGAGGCGACAAGAAACAAAUGCUGGUCAAUUAAAUGACAAACAUCGACAUAGGCCAUUGCUGAAAACAGUUGCCAGAGGCACUGCACUAGUUGGUGUAUUGUGUCUGUUGCUGCAUUUCAGGUUUGUAUUUCUGGUCCUAUUUCAUUUGUUAUGUGGCAAUCUUCUCUAUUUGGUCAAUCACCAUAAAUCUUGUGCCAUUUACAUUGAUAGUCGUAGGAGAAACAAACAGGGAAGCAGUGAAGCCGGCAGUAGACCAACUCAAAGUAAGAAGUUUCGUGGCAGAGAUUUCUCAUAUGGGGAUGGACAAAAUGGACGUCGAGUAGAUAGAGUUUAUCCUUCUGAAAAACUCAAGUUCAAGAAUUAGAUUCUGGAUCUGUGAGACUUAGUAAGAAGCAUGGCUGGUUUUUCAUACAUUCAGCCCAUCUCAGUUUUAGGUAGAAUAAGCAUGAGGUAUGGUUCAUACGCUAAUAGCACGUUGAAGGGUGAAUUUUAGGUUUCCCUAUGCCGCUUAAAGAAGAAAAAAAAGAAAAGUAUAUGGUUGCUUACUUCCAUGAGUUAAUGUAAUCUUGAAGGAAAUAGCGGCUACAAUCUCUGUAGCAGGCACAAAGCAUGUAAUGAUGGGAAAGUAGCAUCUUGUACCCAUUUGUUAAUUCGUCCAUCACGUAGAAUACUGUUUAUAUACUUCAUUUUUUUUAAAAAAAUGAUGUGCUAUGAGGAAUAUUUCUUGCUUUUAUUGGCGAAAUGCAUAAAUAACCCCUUUAAAUUGUCCUUGGUGAUCAGAAUAACACUUUAAUUGAGUUUUUUUAUUUUGACACUUAAAGUGGCUAUUAAGUAAAAGUAAACACGCAAGUAUAGCAGACCAUAUGUGUGACUUGAACUUUCCAAUGACAUGUUAAAUGGAUCAAUCAAAAAAUUACUAAUAUAAUUUUGCCAUAAAAAUUUGAAAGAACAAAGGAAACCUUCUUUUCCUGAACAAGCCCCCACAUCUUCUUUCGCCCAUCCCGUCUGCUCAAAUCCACCAGAUUGGCUUAAAUUAG